rnacentral:lncRNA from 1 species
CAUCUCGCAUCCCGCGUAGUCUUUUUCUUUUUAAAUUAAAACGUAAACGACUACGACGAAGAAGUUUCUUCGAGAAUAACGCAACUUUUGAAGAUAAGUUGUCACAGUCUCGAUACGUAACUUCAAAGAUUUUUAUUUACACGGGACCGUUCAUUCUUUUAAAGAAUAUUAAAUAUAUGAAAAAGGGGAAAAAGAAUAAAAAUAAAUUAAAAAGAAACGCGUAGAUGUAAUUCGCGAAUGAUUUUUGAGAUCGGAUAGCGAACCUUCGUCGAUGUUUACUCGGGCCAGGACAACAGCGAGUCGCAGGAUGCAACAAGGAACAAUAUUAUCUUUUUUUUAUUUUUUAUUUUUUUCUUCUUUCUCUUUCUCAUCUACCUCGCAAGAUAUUAUUUCUUUCAGAAUAAGUUCAUGUAACUCACCGAUAAAAAGCAUUUUCAUUCUAUCCAAAUCAAAAUAUCUAAGAGAUUCGAUGCAAUGAGAGAUCCUUAUUAUUUUUUCUUUUUUAUAUUAUCAAAUAUACACGGUGAGCCGUUUGAAUAUGAACAAAAAUAAGAACAACAUUUAUCGUAAAUAUAUGAGUCGGAAAUCGUAGAGGGAGGGGGCCGGAGUGGGAGUCCGUUUUUGAUUACAAAUCAAAUCACACGUAUAUAUAUACUAUAUAUAUAUAAUAAGUAUAUGUAUAGUCACCACGCGGAGGGUACCAAAAAAGGAAUAGAAAAUAAAAAUACAA